rnacentral:rRNA from 1 species
GACGAACGCUGGCGGCGUGCUUAACACAUGCAAGUCGAACGGAAAGGCCCUGCUUUUGUCGGGUGCUCGAGCGGCGAACGGGUGAGUAACACGUGAGUAACCUACCCCUGGCUUUGGGAGAACUUCAGGUAACUGGGGUUAAUACUGGCUCGGAGCUCCUGCUGCACGGUGGGGGUUGGAAAGUUUCGGCGGUUUGGGAUGGAAUCGCGGCUUACCAGCUCGUUGGGGGGGUAGUGGCUUACCACGGGUUUGACGGGCAGCCGGCCUGAGAGGGUGACCGGCGACAAUGGGACUGAGAUACGGAGCAGUGGCCAACGGGGGGCAGCAGGGGGAAAUAUUGCGCAAUGGGCGGGAGCGUGAGGAGGCAACGCCGCGUGCGGGAUGAAGGUCUUCGGGUUGGAAACCGCGUUCGGCUGAGACGAAGCGUGAGUGACGGUAAUGGGUAAAGAAGCACCGGCUAACUACGUG